UGUACCUAGUUCUUCACUGACUUGAGGUGCCAGCAAGCAUUUCCUAAUGAAAACAAUGCCAGAUCUUUCUUAAAUUCUUGCCAAAACAAUUCUAUGUGCAAUUUUUUAUGAGAUAGCUGUUGCUUAGACAUAGUCAAUAAUUUGGACAAAGACUGUGAAGAUCUAAAAGGCCCUUGCUCUUCCAGUCCAAGGAACUGCCACUUGUGUGAGGAGAUGCAAAUGCCUGAGGAGAAAAGGGUUUCCAUGCCAAUGUCCUCAUGGGUACAAAAGGCUGACCUAUGAAACUGUCACUAAUUUCUGUGAAGAGAAUGCCUGCCACCAUAAAGGAACCUGCAAUAAAGACCCUGAACACUUUGUCUGUAUUUCAUCUACUGGAUAUCUUAUAAGGUUCUGUGAGACAGAUCACAAU
rnacentral:lncRNA from 1 species